rnacentral:lncRNA from 1 species
CACGCUGGGCUCACAACUCCACCAGCAACCAGACUGUUCACUCAGAGGCUAAUGCCACUGCUGAGUUCAUGGAUAAAUUGGUAACAGGCAGCGAUGUCGUGGUGGAAAGCGCGCAAACGCACAGCCCUUAACCCAGAGCCACUUGAGCGCUUUCCCAUCUCAACCCGUCACUCCGAGCCCCGAAUCCAGAGCCAUCCACACGGAGGCGAAUCGCUACAGACCGGAGAGGAGGUUCCGCCCCACCAAAGAGCCCAACCCGGAGACGCAGGUGAGGCACAGGGACAACGAAACGCCCCAGAAAGACAGGCUACUGGAGCGAGAAGAGGCCAAACUCGAGGAGGAGCGGAGGGAGCUGUUUCUUCUCCACAAAAGGCUGGACCAAGAGAAGGAAAAACUGAGACAACAGCAGCUGAAACGCGAAGAGGAGGAGCGGAGCGGCCACCCGCGCAAGCACCAUCACCACCACGCGCAAACAACCAUGCACGCGCCAGAGACAACGACAUCCACAGCAGCAACAACAACAACAACAACCACGCAGCCACCUUCAGUUCCAGCAGGGCCCAGGCCUCCAGCUCAGUCGCGGCCGAGGAGGAGGAGGAGGAAAAAUCGUAAACGGAUUAGCAAGGCAGCUAUGAGGGCAAUGCUAAUGUAAAAUAAACCAAGAUGGACUCAGUGAACACGGUGUCUUCUGUGGACGUAUCCAGAGAUGAAGCACCCCGUCUCCCCGGCAACAGCGUUUAAUCACCUGUCAAUAACUUAAACCCUACGAGGUCUUCUGUGUAACACUACUAAUGACUGUUAACCCAACUUCCCUGGGUCGGACAGAGCAAAGGAAUGGCUGGACUUGCUAGGGGCGGAGAACUCUUAUUAGUGGGACCUCACUUGAAGCACCCCCAAGAUAAAGGCUGGGCGCAGACUGGAACUGCAGAGCCCCGUCGCUGUGGACAAAUAGUGCAAUCCUGGACUCCCCUUGGACCCUUAUUUUGGAUAUCGACAGAGACAGGACUGAAAGGCUCUCUGCUGAAUGACUGUCUCAUCAUGACUACUAAGUGCUUUUGGUGCAUAUAAAACUGUUGGUGUAGUGAGAGCCAGGGGAUGGCUGAGUGGUUAGUCGUAGGAUCAUAUUCCGUGCUUACUUUCCGUUCUCUCUGGGUGCUCCUACCAUCCUGUACUGUGUGAAUGGACAUGUCCUCUGUGGAGUGUCUGCAGAAUAUCAGCAGAUCGAGGGACAUACCUGGAGUAAGUAAGUAAGUUAUUUCAACAUGCAGUGUUUACAACAUGGCCAAACACAGUCAGGUCAUGUUCAAACAUCCUGCAGACAGUACGAGGCUGUCACUCUCUCUCUCUCAGUGCCAGUCUCAAAACAUUACUGUGACCUAUACAUAAAUGGGAAUGGAAAAUCUCCACGACAGUCAUAUCUUUGUAUAGGUCGUACUAAUUCAAUUGUAUUUAAAUGUGCAGAUAAACACUGAAGUUUGAUGUAGUGGUGACUCAAAGUGGCUUCCCUGUCAGCUUUAUCUAUGACCAGAGCCGUGUGCAAAGGUGGCAAACAUUAGGAACACAGAUAUGUGCAAAAUGCCAUUGACCCUUUUCGAUAUUAUUUUUUAUAAACAUGAUCAGAAAUACCAUUUUGCUUCUAACAACUUUUUCAGCCCAUGACAUGACUGUUAUUGGCUAAAAUGAGGUGUGUUGAUCUAAUCAGCAACAAUUGCCUCACUGAAAGUUCAUCCUCCAUCAUUCCAGACAUGUAUUACUGUGCAAAUGAUAUCUGCACAGUAAUCUUAAUAUGACUUCUGUCAGGUUAUAUGACUGAGCCCACUCGCAUUAUUAUUUUUGUUAGUUUAGUUUAGUUUAUUAGUUUAUUUGAGCAGUUAAAAUUCUGCUCAAAAGGAGUGGGCUGAAGCAAAGCUUAUAAGCGCCCACCCCGACAUCAAUGAAAUAAAAACAAUUGAUCAAAUCACACAAGUACAGGGAGCAUGUUACAAAGUACAAGACACAAGAGCAGGAACACAGCACACACACACACACACAUCGUACCCCUCCGUGACCCAACUUUACCUGUUAUAGUUACAUUAUCAAUCCUACAUUAAGCAACAUCAUAUUUUGAUUUUUUUUUUUUUUUUUUUUGUCCCACCGGCAAAGAGAACCUACAACCCACUAGAGCGGCCAUUUCAACACGGACCACACCCACAAAGCAUCUCUAGAAUUGUUGUACAAAUAUAAAUUAACAGAGUUAAUUUAUAUUUGUAUUAUAAUGUAUUAUUUUUGUUAAUCAAGACUCAACCUUGCUGCGUAAGCGCAGCCACUAUGAUGGUGCUCUGUCUGUUUUAUUUAGAGAGAGAGAGCGAGAGAGAGAGAGAGGAAAAAACCAGACUAAAGCUUUGUGUACAGUUUGACAGAAAAUGAAUUAGGACGGCUGGGCAGGUUACCCACUUACAAAGCACUGCUGGACUCCAUCCCCUGGAAUUUAGGAGCAGAAAAUGAAUGAAUAAAGGGAGAGUUCGAGAGACAAUCAAACUGAAAGACUAGUAUUAGCAACUUUCACAUCAACCUUCAACAACCACAAGUAUGAGUUUUUAAUAUGUCCAUAUACAGUGUCUCUGUGUAACAAUAUUUAAUGUAUUUAACUAAAUACACUGGAAGUGUAAACUGGUCACCAGACAAUACAAUGUUUCUGUUUUUCAUUUUCCAUGUGAUCUGACUGUGUCUUAUUUAUUUAGCCAUACAUUACUGUGGACUAACUUUUUAUACAGAUUUGUUUUCUAUACAGUGCUUCAGUGUUGCAUGCUCACUAGGUGGUUCUGAAUGGGACCACCUAGGACUGCUCUCAUGUGUAAUAUCCGGUAGUGUGUGGCGGGUGCCCACUCUCACACCUCUGUCAUAAAGCAAGCUCUGUUUUUGUCUUCAAUACAGAUAUGACUCUUGUCUUUGGAAAGUCAUUCUUUUCACAUCCUGGGAAAGCAAUCGUCUUCUACAACCAACAGGGUUUUUCCAUUUCUCUAAAUUUAACUUCCAGACAUUGUUUUUGACAUAGGUGGAAAAUGAAUAAGUACAUUGGCACUUGUAAAUUAAAAGCAGAACGUCACUUUUGCAACUGGACAUAAUUGCUUUUCAUUGUAUCCGGAUACAUUCAGUGAUGCCAAACACUAGUGAUACUGACAACCAGAAUUAGCAACCUUUUAAGUUAUUGAAAUAUUGUACAGUGUGUGUGCUAACCUUAACUGUUUCAU